rnacentral:rRNA from 1 species
AUGCAGGGCACCAUGUGGCGCAACAACUCCUGGCUUGUCGACGCCGACGGCACUGUCAACGAGGCCGGCCAGAUGUUCCUCAAUCUCCAAAAGGAGUGGAAGGCGGACGCGCGCGGGAACGUCGACGGCGACGGCGACUUCAAGUUCAGGGGCUUCUACGGCAGGUACAUCGUGGAGGUCAUGACGGCGACGGGGAAGCAGAUGCUCCAGACCUUCACCAUGGAGAAAGGGGACAACACACCUCUCCUCGUGGAUUUGGCCCACGCCUAA